UAUCGGAUUGGGUGGGCUGCUUAGAGGUUCCUGGAAAUAGCCCCACAUCAGACCGUACCCUAAACCGACACAGGUGGACUGGUAGAGUAUACCAAGGCGCUUGAGAGAACCACGUUAAAGGAACUCGGCAAAAUGCCUCCGUAAGUUCGCGAGAAGGAGGCCCCGUCUGUAGGCAACUAUGGGCGGGGGGCACAAACUAGGGGGUGGCGACUGUUUACUUAAAACACAGGGCUGUGCGAAGCCGUAAGGCGACGUAUACAGUCUGACGCCUGCCCGGUGCUGGAAGAUUAAGAGGAGGGGUGCAAGCUCUGAAUUGAAGUCCCAGUAAACGGCGGCCGUAACUAUCACGGUCCUAAGGUAGCGAAAUUCCUUGUCGGGUAAGUUCCGACCUGCACGAAUGGCGUAACGAUCUCCCCGCUGUCUCUAACGUGGACUCAGCGAAAUUGAACUGUGUGUCAAGAUGCACACUUCCCGCGGUUAGACGGAAAGACCCCAUGCACCUUUACUCCAGCUUUGCACUGGCAUCAGGAUUGUGAUGUGCAGGAUAGGUGGUAGGCAUCGAAGCGGGGACGCCAGUCUUCGUGGAGCCUCCCUUGAGAUACCACCCUUCGCACUCUUGAUGUCUAACCGCGGCCCGUUAUCCGGGUCCGGGACCCUGCGUGGUGGGUAGUUUGACUGGGGCGGUCGCCUCCCAAACAGUAACGGAGGCGCGCGAAGGUUGGCUCAGAGCGGUCGGAAAUCGCUCGUUGAGUGCAAUGGCAGAAGCCAGCCUGACUGCAAGACUGACAAGUCGAGCAGAGACGAAAGUCGGCCAUAGUGAUCCGGUGGUCCCAAGUGGGAGGGCCAUCGCUCAACGGAUAAAAGGUACGCUGGGGAUAACAGGCUGAUGAUGCCCAAGAGUCCAUAUCGACGGCAUCGUUUGGCACCUCGAUGUCGGCUCAUCUCAUCCUGGGGCUGGAGCAGGUCCCAAGGGUACGGCUGUUCGCCGUUUAAAGAGGUACGUGAGCUGGGUUUAGAACGUCGUGAGACAGUUCGGUCCCUAUCUGCCGUGGGUGCAGGAGACUUGAGAAGAGUUGACCCUAGUACGAGAGGACCGGGUUGAACGAACCACUGGUGGACCAGUUGUCGUGCCAACGGCAGUGCUGGGUAGCUAUGUUCGGACAGGAUAACCGCUGAAGGCAUCUAAGCGGGAAGCCCCCUUCAAAACAAGGUCUCCCUUGAGGGCCGUGGAAGACGACCACGUCGAUAGGCCAGAGGUGUAAGCGCAGCAAUGCGUUCAGCUGACUGGUACUAAUUGCCCGAUUGGCUUGAUCUGAUCCGG
rnacentral:rRNA from 1 species